AGACCCCAUCAUUUUAUAAGGAUAGUUGGGGUUAUGUUUUCCAGUGUGCAUUACUUAGCAUUUAUCAGCACUGAAUUUCAUCUGCCAUUUUGUUGCCCAGUCACUCAGUGGGGCAGAGUGAUACACCACCUUUCCAAGUGGAAAAAAUUGAAGGCUUCAUGCUUUUUAUUCUCUCUGAGCACUGUUGGCUUUACUCCACAGCUCACUUCAUUGUUCUCCCCUGACCUCCCAAUGUGUCUGCUCUCUCACAGAGUGGCUUCAAGAUGGCAGCAGAGGGGAACAGAUUAUAUCAUGAGCUCAGACCAGGGAAGAAGUUUUUGGUAGGAUGGAGUAAGUGGAGACCCAGAAUGGGACUAUCUUAUACAUCUAGUUUCAGAAAAUUCUUUUUUAGCACAGCAUUCCCUAAACCCAUAUAAAAUAGCUUUCUCCAAGGCAAUAUUUACCUCAGAAUUGAGUAGUUUCCAAAGGGUGAGAUUUAACCACGUUUAAUACUGUGCAGAAUUUGUAGUUUGGUUUUGUCUUUCCAUUAGGGUGGAUGUGACAAAUCUGGCUUUCUGUUUUUGCCAUUAGUUUUAUUAAUGAAAGCAUAAAGUGCAUAAUCAUUCAAGAAAUUAACAUUAUACUAUUGUUCAUUGGGGUCCAGAUUGCAAUACCCUUGCUCACACUGAGUAGUCUCUGAUUCCACAAGUAGUCCCAUUGACUUCAGUGGCACUAUUCAUGUAUUGGUCGACAUAAGUCAAUAUAUCAAUUUGGCCCUUACUGAAAAUUUUACCCUCUUGUUGAUCGUGCUGUGUGCAAGAGCAGAUACAGUCUUUGUGGCACUCUGCCAUAGGUAUUUGUACGCUGUGCCACUAAGCCUUCCCUUUUGUUUUAUAAUUACAUUUUUUCAUUUUAAAAAAGCCUUCAGAAUAAAGCAUUAAACCCCAGUUCUUCAAGCAUUAAACCCUUUGUGUACUCAGAGCCCUAUUGGAAUUCAUUAGGGCUCUAUGAAGGCACUGAAGUUAACAGCUUGGAGGAUUGAGGCCAGAGAUUGUACUAAGAACACUCCAGAUUAGUAAAACUAAAAGAGGUUUAUGUCAAAUUUGCUCUUCACCAUUUAUGAUGUUUACAUUUUUGGAAUUUCUCUCUGGUGGAGCAUGAAAACAUUCCAUUUCACUUUUUUCCUAGUUAGUUUCACUUUGUUUCUCCUGCACAAGAACUGCAAGGCUUUCCUCCUGGGGGCAUUCUGCACCAAAAAAAUCACCCAAUAUUUUAAAAUUCUGCAAAUGUUAUUUGUCAACAUAACACUACAUAAUCACACGAGUUUGUUAUUUUGGUAAUUUAUUUCAAAAUACCUGUCAGCAAGUGUGUCUGUAACAACACAGACAUACAAAAUUUCUUCCAGGAGCAGAGAGUUAAAGAAACCCCUAUGACAACCCAGUUCCUGUUUCUCUGCCCCCCUCCUCCCACACCCCAGAGUCCAAUCAGGGGGCCAGACAACUACAACCCCUCUGCCCCAGAGCCCAGCCACAGUGCCCCUCCAGCCAAUACACCCACCCCCCUUUCCCCCCCCCCAUGCCCAGCUGUGGGCCCCACCGGCCCAGAUCGCUGCACCCCAUCUCCCUACCCAUGCCCUCCCCCUUGCCUAGACACCCAACCCCCUCCCCCGCCCAGGGAGCCAGAGGGAGAAACAGCCUGAUGCUUGGUCCCAGGCUUGCAUGAAGUUUCCUGUGCACCGCUGUCUCCUUUUCUCAGGGCAUGCUGGGAACUGCAGCUGCCAGGAAACCUCUAGCUCCCUCCCUUUGACAGUGUCUUACAUGUGCGAGCUGAACUCUGCUGGGUCCAGCAGCCCAUAGUGGUGGCCAGAAGGACUGCAGCCCAUUUCUGUUGGGGAAAGGAAAUUCUGUGUGCACAAUAAUUGCUGCUAAAUUCUGCAUUGCGCAGUGGUGCAAAAUUCCCCCAGGAGUAAGGCCUGGGUUGCAAAAGUGUAAGUGAUUUGUUUUUUAAUAAACUGCUUUGAUUAGAAUUGCUUGAAAAUGAACUCUUCUGUUACCGUUAAGUUAUUUAAAACUCUUUAUUUGUAAGAAAAAAAUUACAAUGUGUGUAUACAUAUACAUCUCCUCUGUCCUCCCACUCCCAACAUAAACAUUCAUCAGGCUGUGCAGUAACACUAUUGUCCUUUGCAUUGAAAUCAAACACAAUUAAACUCCAAGAAAUAUAGCAUGAAAGGAAGGGGAUUAACUGUAAUCUACCCUCUCUGGCCAAUCCAAACCAUAAAAAUGUAUGCAAGGACUUCAGAUAAUGGGCUGUUCCCACAGGUUCUCCUUUCAGGUGUCAUUUAAAAUGUUUAAAGUUUUUUUUUAUCCUUCCUCUUAGGCAAAUCCUUCCAAAACAAAACCACCUACAGCUCCCCUGCCACCUCCUCAAAAAAUAAAAUUAGCAACUGCCUGAAUUUGAUUGGUGACAGUUGUUAUGGGUGUUAAAAGUAACAAGUGUCAUAAUAUAGUUACAAAAAGUUAUAACCUUUAAGCACAAACAUAUGAAAAAAGAAAUGGAAAGGUUUGUUUCUCAGUAAUUCAAUAUAACUUCUAUUAAAAAUAAAUGAAAAAGACUAUGUUGGAGGAAGGAUAUUUCUCAACUACAGACUGCCACCAUUCAAGAUAAGAUAUUUACUUCUUUACUGUAGCUGAGAUAUGAGAGCUAGGGCUGGAGUGUGAUGUAAUAGGGCUGAGAGCACAGGUGUGUGCUCUCUGAAAUACCUAGGGUCAGGGCUGGUCACAGGAACCUGGAGUAGAAAAAGCAGCCUGUAAAAUCUUUUUAUAAUAUAUAUAAAUAAAAUUAACAGUUUGGGUUGAAUUUGACUUGAGUAUCUAUUUGAGGAUUACAUUCCCUCACCCCUCCUCCCAUUAGUGUAUAAUGUGGAAUAGAGCUCUAGGGUAAAGUAAUCUGCUCCCACUGAGCAGAGAGAAGUCAAUGAAGUUGCUCUGGUGUACACGGAACAUAACAUGGCCAAAUGCGUUUCUUUUCAAGUUCAUACUAGACAUGGUACCUCACAGAAUUCAAAGGACCACUGAUGUCAGGUUUUCUUCUAGAAGUUUCUUUCCACAUUCUGAUUCCAUCCAUUGUCAUCUGUGUCUUGGGGCAGGGUUGUUGCACGGUGUUUGCUAUUCCCCCUCAUACCUUUUCUAGAGAAUACAGCAGUGUGCACUUUGCUAGUGUUGAUAUUAGAGGAAGAGCAGUUCUACAGCAUUUGGACCCAGUGCAACUAUCGCUGAGGGAACCAUAUAGUGACCUGACCAGCAGGCCAAGUCAUGAAGGGGGAAGAAUACCCUGCGUCAGAGGAUGAUAUGAGAGAGAGAGAGUGCCAGAGGAGGGAGAAAUGCCUGGCCAGAGCUAAUUCCCAGAGCGACUAGGAGGAGGUGCCACUAAUGAUAAAGUUUGAUAUGAAAAAAUAUGGUACCUUGCUCACUUACGCAGAAAUCACCAGAACUCCAAAAGUGGCACCAGUACUGCAUACCAUACGCUCUUCCUGACCCAGAUACCCAAGAACGUGGCGGGGAGGCUCUGAGCACGCAGCCACUCCACUUCAGAGGAUGGCCAAAGCAACAGAAGGCUGUCAUUCAAACAGUUUGCUUAUUGUAGCCGCACUAAAAAUCAAUGUGGCCAUGUUCUUCCCUCUUCCCCCAC